rnacentral:rRNA from 1 species
AGAAUUUGAUCUUGGUUCAGAACGAACGCUGGCGGCAGGCCUAACACAUGCAAGUCGAGCGCGCCCUUCGGGGUGAGCGGCGGACGGGUUAGUAACGCGUGGGAACGUACCCUUUGGUAGGGAAUAGCCACUGGAAACGGUGAGUAAUACCCUAUGAGCCCUUCGGGGGAAAGAUUUAUCGCCAAAGGAUCGGCCCGCGUUAGAUUAGGUAGUUGGUGGGGUAAUGGCCUACCAAGCCUACGAUCUAUAGCUGGUUUUAGAGGAUGAUCAGCAACACUGGGACUGAGACACGGCCCAGACUCCUACGGGAGGCAGCAGUGGGGAAUCUUGGACAAUGGGGGCAACCCUGAAUCCAGCCAUGCCGCGUGAGUGAAGAAGGCCUUAGGGUCGUAAAGCUCUUUCGCCUGUGAAGAUAAUGACGGUAGCAGGUAAAGAAACCCCGGCUAACUCCGUGCCAGCCGCCGC